rfam:Nosema bombycis CQ1 unplaced genomic scaffold NBO_1441, whole genome shotgun sequence.
GCUCCGGUGGUCAAGUGGUAUGACAAUAGCCUUCCAAGCUGUUAGCCUGGGUUCGAUUCCCGGUCGGUGCA